rnacentral:rRNA from 1 species
GAUGAACGCUGGCGGCGUGCCUAAUACAUGCAAGUCGAGCGAACAGACGAGGAGCUUGCUCCUCUGACGUUAGCGGCGGACGGGUGAGUAACACGUGGAUAACCUACCUAUAUGACUGGGAUAAUCUCGGGAAACCUGAGCUAAUACCGGAUAAUAUAUUGAACCGUAUGGUUCAAUAUCGCAAUACGGUUCUGCUGUCAUUGAUCGAUGUAUCCGCUCCGCAUUAGCUGGUUGGUGAGGUAACGGCUUACCAAGGCAACGAUCCGUAGCCGACCUCAGAGGGUGAUCGACCACACUCGCACUGGGACACAGUCCAAACUCCUGCGGGAGGCAGCGGUAGGGAAUCUAACGGAAUGGGCGAAAGCAUGACGGAGCAAACCCGCGUGAGUCAUGAUGGUCUUCGGAUCGUAAAACUGAGUUAUUAGGGAAGAACAAAUGUGUAAGUGACUAUGCACGGCUUGACGGUACCUGGUCAGAAAGCCACGGCUAACUACGUG